rnacentral:rRNA from 1 species
AUGGCGAAGUAUUGGUGGGGAAGUUCCAUUUACAAGCGUUCUCUUCAUUGGCUCUCAUGGAAAAAACUUGCAAAACCAAAAGUAAAGGGCGGCAUGGGCUUCCGAGAUCUACACCUCUUCAAUCUUGCGAUGCUUGGAAAACAUGGCUGGCGCCUUUUUACCAAGCCGGACUCUUUAUGUGCUCGGGUGUUAAAGGGGAAAUAUUUCCCUCACACAGAUUUCCUCAACGCCACAUCUCCGGCUCGAUCUUCAGCGACCUGGAAGGCUAUCAUUGCAGGGCGGGAUGCCCUCAGUGUUGGUCUUAUUCGCCGAGUGGGCGACGGACAAUCCAUAGCUACCUGGAUUGACAGUUGGAUACCCAACACCCCGACACUAAAGCCCAGGGGGCGCAUUGGAACGGCGCCACUUCCAACUGUCUCAGAGCUCAUUGAUGAUUACACUGGUAACUGGAAUGAGCAACUGAUUCGUCAAAAUUUCAUGCUACCGGACGUGGAGGCUAUCCUGAAUAUACCACUUAACCCGAACGGCGGCGAAGAUACUCUGGCUUGGGCCUUGGAGAAAUCUGGCAUCUAUUCUGUAAAAUCAGCGUAA